rnacentral:rRNA from 1 species
UACGUAGGGUGCGAGCGUUGUCCGGAAUUAUUGGGCGUAAAGGGCUCGUAGGCGGUUUGUCGCGUCGGGAGUGAAAUCACCGGGCUUAACUUGGUGUCUGCUUUCGAUACGGGCGAACUUGAGGGAUGCAGGGGAGAACGGAAUUCCUGGUGUAGCGGUGAAAUGCGCAGAUAUCAGGAGGAACACCGGUGGCGAAGGCGGUUCUCUGGGCAUGUCCUGACGCUGAGGAGCGAAAGUGUGGGGAGCGAACAGG